rnacentral:rRNA from 1 species
UACGUAGGGCGCAAGCGUUGUCCGGAAUUAUUGGGCGUAAAGAGCUCGUAGGCGGUUUGUCGCGUCUGCUGUGAAAACCCGAGGCUCAACCUCGGGCCUGCAGUGGGUACGGGCAGACUAGAGUGCGGUAGGGGAGAUUGGAAUUCCUGGUGUAGCGGUGGAAUGCGCAGAUAUCAGGAGGAACACCAAUGGGCGAAGGCAGAUCUCUGGGCCGUAACUGACGCUGAGGAGCGGAAGCAUGGGGGAGCGAACAGG